rnacentral:lncRNA from 1 species
CCUCCGCGAGGAGGGGGCGACGAACAGGGAAGCGGAGACGGCGGCGGUCCCCACAGCAGCAGCAGCAGCAACAGCCGCCGCCGCCGCCUCAGCACUGAGCAGNAGGAGGCGAGAACGGGCCCAGGGUCUGGAGCUGAGUUCCCGUCACGGCGAAGGCCCUGGGCGGCCCACUAGGGGCCCGAGAGGGCUGCGCAUCACUACGCUCAGGUGCGACGAAGCGCCCAACCCGGGCAGCGGCGGCGGCGGCAGCAGCAGGCGGCGCCUCGAGGGAGCACGCGAGCGAAACGCUUUCCCCGUCGAGCAGCCAGACCCGCCUCCUGCUUCGCUCGCUGCCUGCUUGUGUCACCGCCGCCUCACUACCUCCUCCUCCCUCUCUGCUCGUUUUUGCUGGAAGAAGCAGAUGCCCCCCCAGGCCGGGCUCCUCACAAGAGGAGGAGGAGGGGGCAAAGCGGGCGGGAAAGCUGAGAUUGGGUAAACAGCUCUCCAGCCUGGCGUGGCGCUGCCAUUGGCUGAGCCGAAACACCACGGCGGCUGGGAGAAGAGGCGGCAGGCGAGGCGAGGAGGCGAGGCGAGGAGCAGCAAGGAAAUCGGGUGCGCGCUGCCGCUGCUGCUGUCACUGCCGUGGGAUGCGCCUCCGAGCGGGAGCUGCAUUCUCACAUGAGGAAAAAAUUUCCGGAUAUGGAACUGCUUACACCCGACCCAGCCAUCUGCACCUAGACCCAGUACACACAGUAAUUGGUUAACCAUUGAGGUGGUUAUAAGCAUGGAAGAGGUAAUGGGGAAAAGGGUCUCUUCCCAGGCGGGGCUCAGUAUGGUUGGUUGGCUCACACACCUAAAAAGGGCAAGGGCGAACAUACCUAGCCCACAAUGUGAUCACCNUGUAGAGAGCAAAUCGAAGUGGCUACUGUGGUCCUAGCCAAUCCCAGCACAGGUUUCCCAUGCCUAGUGAGUCCAGUGCAGGAUAACAAUUUGUAGGAGACCUCUGGAAAAAUGGCUCCCUUCCACUAUUGGCAAGUGGAGGAAAUAGAGGCUGUCUUACAAGCGCUCCCAUCUACUCGCAUACCCAGGGAGCGUCUAAUGGUNUGCACAUGCAGACAAAACCGUAGCCUCUUCCUUGAGGCAUUGAAGAAGCUGCUCUCCCAAGGUUUCCAGUGCAGCAUGGAGCAAUGGCG